rnacentral:rRNA from 1 species
AUGAACCAGGACAAGGUCGUCAUGGAGAGCUGGUAUUACCUGAAGGAAUCUGUUCUUAAUGGUGGAACCCCAUUCAAUAAGGCACAUGGGAUGUCUGCGUUUGAAUACCUAGCCAAGGACACACGCUUCAACCGUGUGUUCAAUGAGGGCAUGAAGAGUCAUUCAAUCAUCAUCACGAGGAAGCUUCUCGAGUUCUACAAUGGCUUUGAUAGAGUCGGCACCCUCAUUGAUAUCGGCGGCGGUAUCGGCACCACACUCCACGCCAUCACCACCAAGUACCCGAGCAUCAGGGGGAUCAACUUUGACCUCCCCCAUGUUGCCUCCGAGGCACCGCCAUUCCCCCGGGUGACGCACGUGGGGGGCGACAUGUUUCAGAAGGUUCCCUCAGGCGACAUGAUCCUUAUGAAGUGGAUCCUUCAUGACUGGAGUGAUGAGCAUUGUAUCACAUUGCUCAAGAACUGCUACGAUGCGCUACCAGCACAUGGUAAGGUGGUGGUUAUAGAGUGCAUCCUACCGGAGAAGGAGAACCCAAAUGCCACGCCUAGGGCAUUGUUCCAUGUUGACAUGAUCAUGCUCGCUCAAAACCCUGGCGGCAAGGAGAGAUACGAGAGGGAAUUCAGGAAGCUUGCUAUGGGUGCGGGGUUCACUGACAUCAACACCACCUACAUCUAUGCUGAAGCCUGGGCAAUUGAGUUGACCAAGUAG